rnacentral:rRNA from 1 species
UACGGGGGGGGCAAGCGUUGUUCGGAAUUACUGGGCGUAAAGGGCUCGUAGGCGGCCAACUAAGUCGGGUGUGAAAUCCCCGGGCUCAACCUGGGAAUUGCAUUCGAUACUGGAUAGCUAGAGUUCGGCAGGGGAGACUGGAAUUCCUGGUGUAGCGGUGAAAUGCGCAGAUAUCAGGAGGAACACCGGUGGCGAAGGCGGGUCUCUGGGCCGAUACUGACGCUGAGGAGCGAAAGCGUGGGGAGCGAACAGG